CCUUCUCUCCUUUUUCUUUUUGAAAAAAGAACAAUAAAAUUCGAAUUAAAUAGUAAAAAGAUACGCCGAAACCGUGUUCCAAUCUUCAGACAUCAUUUAAAAACGCCCCUCAUUCAUCCCCCCCUCUAGGCUCUCUAUCUAUCUGCCCUCCACUCAAUACAAAAACGAGUUCCAAGAAGCCAGAGCCACCCCCCCAGGUCCCAACCCUCGUCUUUCCCAAAUCCCCUCCGGUCUACUCUUAAUGCCUCUGCCUAGUAGCAAAGCUCUCCUCUCCCUCUCCCUCCUCCUCCUCUUGUCGAUCUCCGCCGCCGUCGCCAAUGGCGGCGGCGCCCCCGCAUCCGCCACCAUCGACCCGGGACGAUUCAAAGAAGCCCCGGAAUUCUACAACUCCCCAGCCUGCCCUUCCCUCCUCAACGCCUCCAGCGACGGCAACGGCGACGACGACAGCGAGGGCUGCGACGGCGAAGACGAUGUGAUCUGCUCGGAGACGGCGGUCCACGUGGCGAUGACCCUGGACGUCGCCUACAUCCGGGGCUCCAUGGCGGCCAUCCUCUCCGUCCUCCAGCACUCCACCUGCCCCCAGAACGUGAUCUUCCACUUCGUCUACUCGGCCGCCACCGCCGACGCGUCCCUCCUCCGCGCCACCGUGUCCUCCUCCUUCCCCUACCUCCGCUUCCAGCUCCACCCCUUCGACGCCUCCGCCGUCUCGGGGCUCAUCUCCACCUCCAUCCGCUCCGCCCUCGACUGCCCCCUCAACUACGCCCGCUCCUACCUCGCCAACCUCCUCCCGCUCUGCGUCCGCCGCGUCGUCUACCUCGACUCCGACCUCGUCCUCGUCGACGACAUCGCCUCCCUCGCCGCCACCCCGCUCGACCCCGGCUCCGCCGUCCUCGCCGCCCCGGAGUACUGCAACGCCAACUUCACCUCCUACUUCACCCCGACCUUCUGGUCCAGCCCCUCCCUCCCCCUCACCUUCGCCGGCCGCCGCAGCCGGCCCUGCUACUUCAACACCGGCGUCAUGGUCAUCGACCUCGACCGGUGGCGCGCCGGCGGGUACACGGCCAAGAUCGAGGAGUGGAUGGAGCUCCAGAAGCGGAUGCGGAUCUACGAGCUCGGCUCGCUCCCGCCCUUCCUGCUGGUGUUCGCCGGGGAGAUCGCGCCGGUGGACCACCGGUGGAACCAGCACGGCCUCGGCGGCGACAACUUCCGGGGGCUGUGCCGGGACCUGCACCCGGCCCGGUCAGCCUCCUGCAUUGGAGCGGCAAGGGGAAGCCGUGGGCGCGGCUCGACGCCAACCGGCCGUGCCCCUUGGACGCCUUGUGGGCUCCUUACGAUCUCUUGCGCACUCCCUUCUCACUGGACUCCUGAUCCAGAACCAGGAAACCCGACAUCCCCCGCCGCCGCUGCCCGAAGCGCGAACUCGAUCCACGGUCGACCACCACGACGGCGCGUCGCGGAGUUUGUGUAGAUAACGCACGCACGCUCUCUCCGGAGAUGCAGGUGGGCGUGUAAUUCCAUAAUUUUUGAGACGCUACUACCGGCUUGAUGGAUCGACGACGGCGGCGUCACUUGAUCGGCGUCCUAUAGUUUGAUUAGCGAUUACAUAUGUUGGAAAAAAAUAUAUGAAAUUCAAUUGUAACAAUAAGGAGGAGAUCCAGAAAAAUAUCUGGGAUCUUUUCGAUGUUUUUCUUUUUGGAAAAAUUUUUACGCUCCGGCAGAGAUUUAUCAUCCUGUACAUGUACCCUAAGCCUGUAUAGCAAGAACUGUAGAGCUAUUUUGAGGUGGAUUCAUGAACAGUUGUUGAUUUUAUAUCCGCUAAUAGCCUAAUACAAAAGAUCUUACUUGUAGAGGGAAUUAUCCGGUUCAAAAAUAAUCAGCCAGCUUGCAGUU